CCUACGGGAGGCAGCAGUGAGGAAUAUCGGUCAAUGGACGAGAGUCUGAACCAGCCAAGUAGCGUGAAGGAUGACUGCCCUAUGGGUUGUAAACUUCUUUUAUAUGGGAAUAAAAUGUUCCACGUGUGGGAUUUUGUAUGUACCAUAUGAAUAAGGAUCGGCUAAAUCCGUGCCAGCAGCCGCGGUAAUACGGAGGAUCCGAGCGUUAUCCGGAUUUAUUGGGUUUAAAGGGAGCGUAGGUGGAUUGUUAAGUCAGCUGUUAAAGUUUGCGGCUCAACCGUCAAAUUGCAGUUGAAACUGGAAGUCUUGAGUACAGUAGAGGCAGGCGGAAUUCGUGGUGUAGCGGUGAAAUGCAUAGAUAUCACGAAGAACUCCGAUUGCGAAGGCAGCUCACUGGACUGCAACUGACACUGAGGCUCGAAGGUGUGGGUAUCAAACAGGAUUAGAUACCCUAGUAGUC
rnacentral:rRNA from 1 species